GUCGAAGGUGGGGCUGAUGACUGGGGUGAAGUCGUAACAAGGUAUCCGUACCGGAAGGUGCGGAUGGAUCACCUCCUAACAGGGAGACAACACAAUGAUUUUGAUGCCUGAGUGCUUUUAUUCUUAGGCCGAAAUCCUGUCACCUUAGGUCGAUCGGUACCUCAGCUUUGAAGUCAAGGAUCAGCAGCAAUGUUGAUUGCUUGAUGGAGAUUUUCAGUUCCUAAACUUUGUCUAGGUCACACCCCAAAAGGGAUGAGACUCCUGGGCCAUUAGCUCAGGUGGUUAGAGCGCACCCCUGAUAAGGGUGAGGUCCCUGGUUCAAGUCCAGGAUGGCCCAUUCGGUGUUGGGGGUUUAGCUCAGUUGGUAGAGCGCCUGCUUUGCAAGCAGGAUGUCAGGAGUUCGAGUCUCCUAACCUCCACUGACCGAACUUGAUUCCCACCUCCAAUUUUUUUGGAGUUGAGCUCGAUUGGAGUGUGAUUUAGAUGUGUCCGCUGGAUGACCCCAGCUUCCUGUCAUUCCAAGUUUUAGGUUGAAUCCUUGAAUUUGGUUGAUAAGAUGCUGGGCUCGGAUCAAAUAAUCAAGCAAUUGAUGAUUUGAUUUGAAGUUCUAGCAGAACCUUGACAACUGCAUAGGUGAGUCUGGAAAAAACAAAGCAUCUUACAGAUGCAUUGUUUUGAAUCCGAUCUUCUGAAAGGGAGAUUGGAUCUAGAACAAUGAAAAUUCUUUUGAGCAAGAGCCGAGACUCUUGAGCGUUCUUUUAUUGGUGUCGAGCCAAUCAGAGUUUGAUCUUGUUUUUAGCAAUAAAAACUUGAGAAUCUGCUUUCAACGGCGGUAAGCGUUCAGGAGGUUAAUUGGUCAAGCUACAAAGGGCUCAC
rnacentral:misc_RNA from 1 species